rnacentral:rRNA from 1 species
UACGUAGGUGGCAAGCGUUGUCCGGAAUUACUGGGCGUAAAGGGCGUGUAGGCGGCCUUUUAAGUCAGGCGUGAAAUCCAUGGGCUUAACCCAUGAAUUGCGUUUGAAACUGAAGGGCUUGAGGAUCGGAGAGGGCAGUGGAAUUCCCAGUGUAGCGGUGAAAUGCGUAGAUAUUGGGAGGAACACCAGUGGCGAAGGCGACUGCCUGGACGACACCUGACGCUGAGGCGCGAAAGCUAGGGGAGCAAACGGG